UUACACAGAAACAACUGCAACCAAGUCGUUACAUGACGCUGUGUAGAAUUACACAUAAUCAAUGCCAUAUCGCAUCCCCUUAUGAUGCGAUAUUGCAUCUCGCAACACUGCUCUGAUUGUUGCGAUCGACAAACUCGCAGCAAAGUAAGCUGCCAUGUUUGUUUUUCAGCCGGGUCCGUCGGGUCGAGCGAUUUUCUUCAAUUUUUUGUCAAAAUUACACUUGUUCAGGCAAAUCUCCAUCGAAAAAUCUCCGGAACAACCUUUCUGUCGACAUCGCAGAGAUUUGCUGGUGCUGUCGAUCUGGUCGAAUUAAAGGAUAACUUGGUGUCGCUUCCUCAGACCUAGUUGCUUCACCGAUAAUCUACCGGCUGCUCAUCGGAACGGCACGAGAUGGUGCAUUGAAAUUCUUUGUCGAACCAGCCAACUGUAUAGCACAGAUUGACGCUACGGCGAUGAGUUUCAGGAUGCAUCACGGUCCCCAAGGACGGCGCAAGGUCCAGUCAGUGUGCCUAACGCAUGAUGUCUGCCGUGGGGACACUUCAAGAUCGGAAGUAUGAUAUCCACCAAGAAGAUCUCCUGCAUCGUUGUCGACAAUAUGGAGCAGGGUGUGUAGCCCCGAGGAUUGAGUCCCUCAGGAGAAGUCGGCGUAGAUUCCUGGAAAGCUGCGGUCCGUUCCAGAAUGACGAUGCCGCUGUCUUCAUGCGGUACUUUAUUCACCGCUGCCGUCAGAAUGGUCACCUCAGCUACUUUGUGCACGCAGAACCAACUUUAAUUGUUAUAUAAUAAUUAUUCUUAUAAAUUAUUAUUAAAUUAUUUCAAUUUUAUAAAACAAAAUCUACUAUAAAAAUAAAAGUUCCAUCUAAAAUAUACUUUUUCUGAUUUUCCUCCUGAAUGGCUGAUUUAAUUGUAUUUGAUCUUAUUUCGACUUAAAUUUUGUGUAUCUUAAAAGCCCUAGUGGUUUUUCAGCUACACAUUUUUUUUCGUCGAAAAAAGAUGAAAUUCAAUUUAAUCAUCCAUUCAGGAGAAUUGGCAAGCGUUUACAUCGUUUCCUUGAGUACAUUGCAAGGAUUACAUCGUACCGUGUACGUCGAAUAAAUUACAUCGAAAGAAUUACGUCGGAUCUGUUUAUUACAUCAACAGCCGUCGAGUACAUCGGGCUGUGUAAUAUUAAUCAAUCGAUGUAACGACCUGGUUGCAGCGAUUUCGAUGUAAUAUUCAACAACUUUUUUUGCU